rnacentral:rRNA from 1 species
UACGUAGGGUGCAAGCGUUGUCCGGAAUUACUGGGCGUAAAGAGCUCGUAGGUGGUUUGUCGCGUCGUCUGUGAAAUCCCGGGGCUUAACUUCGGGCGUGCAGGCGAUACGGGCAUAACUUGAGUGCUGUAGGGGAGACUGGAAUUCCUGGUGUAGCGGUGAAAUGCGCAGAUAUCAGGAGGAACACCGAUGGCGAAGGCAGGUCUCUGGGCAGUAACUGGCGCUGAGGAGCGAAAGCAUGGGUAGCGAACAGG